rnacentral:rRNA from 1 species
GUGCAGCAGUCGAGAAACUUUACAAUGCGGGAAACCGCGAUAAGGGGACACCGAGUGCCAGCAUAUUAUGUUGGCUGUCCACAUGUGUAAACGGCAUGUGUUAGCAAGGGCCGGGCAAGACCGGUGCCAGCCGCCGCGGUAACACCGGCGGCCCGAGUGGUAAUCACUUUUAUUGGGUCUAAAGGGUCCGUAGCCGGUUUGAUCAGUUCUUCGGGAAAUCUGACAGCUCAACUGUUAGGCUUCCGGGGAAUACUGUCAGACUUGGGACCGGGAGAGGUAAGAGGUACUACAGGGGUAGGAGUGAAAUCUUGUAAUCCCUGUGGGACCACCAGUGGCGAAGGCGUCUUACCAGAACGGGUCCGACGGUGAGGGACGAAAGCUGGGGGCACGAACCGGAUUAGAUA